rnacentral:rRNA from 1 species
UGGGGAAUAUUGCACAAUGGACGGAAGUUUGAUGCAGCGACGCCGCGUGGAGGGUGUAGGCCUUCGGGUUGUGAACUCCUUUUUCUCGCGAAAAAGGCACAGUUUUGGCUGUGUUGAUGGUAGUGGGGGAAGAAGCGCCGGCUAACUACGUGCCAGCAGCCGCGGUAAUACGUAGGGCGCGAGCGUUGUCCGGAUUUAUUGGGCGUAAAGAGCUCGUAGGUGGUUCGUCGCGUCUGUCGGGAAAGCCAGCAGCUUAACUGUUGGUCUGCGGUGGGUACGGGCGGGCUUGAGUGCGGUAGGGGUGACUGGAAUUCCUGGUGGAGCGGUGGAAUGCGCAGAUAUCAGGAGGAACACCGAUGGCGAAGGCAGGUCACUGGGCCGUUACUGACACUGAGGAGCGAAAGCGUGGGGAGCGAACAGG